UUAUUACGUUAGCGGCGGACCGGUGAGUAACACGUGGGUAACCUGCCCAUAAGACUGGGAUAACUCCGGGAAACCGGGGCUAAUACCGGAUAACAUUUUGAACCGCAUGGUUCGAAAUUGAAAGGCGGCUUCGGCUGUCACUUAUGGAUGGACCCGCGUCGCAUUAGCUAGUUGGUGAGGUAACGGCUCACCAAGGCAACGAUGCGUAGCCGACCUGAGAGGGUGAUCGGCCACACUGGGACUGAGACACGGCCCAGACUCCUACGGGAGGCAGCAGUAGGGAAUCUUCCGCAAUGGACGAAAGUCUGACGGAGCAACGCCGCGUGAGUGAUGAAGGCUUUCGGGUCGUAAAACUCUGUUGUUAGGGAAGAACAAGUGCUAGUUGAAUAAGCUGGCACCUUGACGGUACCUAACCAGAAAGCCACGGCUAACUACGUGCCAGCAGCCGCGGUAAUACGUAGGUGGCAAGCGUUAUCCGGAAUUAUUGGGCGUAAAGCGCGCGCAGGUGGUUUCUUAAGUCUGAUGUGAAAGCCCACGGCUCAACCGUGGAGGGUCAUUGGAAACUGGGAGACUUGAGUGCAGAAGAGGGAAAGGUGGCAACUUCCAUGGUGUAGCG
rnacentral:rRNA from 1 species